rnacentral:rRNA from 1 species
GAUGAACGCUGGCGGCGUGCCUAAUACAUGCAAGUCGAGCGAACGGACGAGAAGCUUGCUUUUCUGAUGUUAGCGGCGGACGGGUGAGUAACACGUGGAUAACCUACCUAUAAGACUGGGAUAACUUCGGGAAACCGGAGCUAAUACCGGAUAAUAUUUUGAACCGCAUGGUUCAAAAGUGAAAGACGGUCUUGCUGUCACUAAUAGAUGGAUCCGCGCUGCAUUAGCUAGUUGGUAAGGUAACGGCUUACCAAGGCAACGAUGCGUAGCCGACCUGAGAGGGUGAUCGGCCACACUGGAACUGAGACACGGUCCAGACUCCUACGGGAGGCAGCAGUAGGGAAUCUUCCGCAAUGGGCGAAAGCCUGACGGAGCAACGCCGCGUGAGUGAUGAAGGUCUUCGGAUCGUAAAGCUCUGUUAUUAGGGAAGAACAUAUGUGUAAGUAACUGUGCACAUCUUGACGGUACCUAAUCAGAAAGCCACGGCUAACUACGUG